rnacentral:rRNA from 1 species
CCGCAAGGCGUGGCAUACGGCUCAGUAACACGUAGUCAACAUGCCCAGGGGACGUGGAUAACCUCGGGAAACUGAGGAUAAACCGCGAUAGGCCAAGGUUUCUGGAAUGGACCAUGGCUGAAAUCUAUAUGGCCCCUGGAUUGGACUGCGGCCGAUCAGGCUGUUGGUGAGGUAAUGGCCCACCAAACCUGUAACCGGUACGGGCUUUGAGAGAAGGAGCCCGGAGAUGGGCACUGAGACAAGGGCCCAGGCCCUAUGGGGCGCAGCAGGCGCGAAACCUCUGCAAUAGGCGAAAGCCUGACAGGGUUACUCUGAGUGAUGCCCGCUAAGGGCAUCUUUUGGCACCUCUAAAAAUGGUGCAGAAUAAGGGGUGG